rnacentral:rRNA from 1 species
GCUGGCGGCAUGCCUAACACAUGCAAGUCGAACGCGAAAGUCGCCUUCGGGUGUGAGUAGAGUGGCGGACGGGUGAGUAACGCGUGGGAAUCUGCCCUGCAGUGGGGGACAACCCGAGGAAACUCGGGCUAAUACCGCAUACGUCUUACGAGAGAAAGGGGGCUUCGGCUCUCGCUGCAGGAUGAGCCCGCGUCCGAUUAGCUUGUUGGUAGGGUAACGGCCUACCAAGGCGACGAUCGGUAGCUGGUCUGAGAGGAUGAUCAGCCACACUGGGACUGAGACACGGCCCAGACUCCUACGGGAGGCAGCAGUGGGGAAUAUUGGACAAUGGGCGAAAGCCUGAUCCAGCAAUGCCGCGUGUGUGAAGAAGGCCUGCGGGUUGUAAAGCACUUUCAGUGGGGAAGAAAAGCGCGAGGUUAAUACCCUUGUGUGUUGACGUUACCCACAGAAGAAGCACCGGCUAACUCCGUGCCAGCAGCCGCGGUAAUACGGAGGGUGCGAGCGUUAAUCGGAAUCACUGGGCGUAAAGCGCACGUAGGCGGCGAGGUCAGUCAGAUGUGAAAGCCCCGGGCUCAACCUGGGAACUGCAUUUGAUACUGCCUGGCUUGAGUAUGGUAGAGGGAGGUGGAAUUCCAGGUGUAGCGGUGAAAUGCGUAGAU